rnacentral:piRNA from 1 species
UGCAGUCUUGCACAUGUGCCC